rnacentral:misc_RNA from 1 species
UACGAAGGGGGCUAGCGUUGUUCGGAAUUACUGGGCGUAAAGCGCACGUCGGCGGACAUUUAAGUCAGGGGUGAAGUCCCGGGGCUCAACCCCGGAACUGCCAUUGAUACUGGGUGUCUAGAGUCCGAGAGAGGUGAGUGGAAUUCAGAGUGUAGAGGUGAAAUUCGUAGAUAUUCGGAGGAACCCCAGUGGCGAAGGCGGCUCACUGGCUCGGUACUGACGCUGAGGUGCGAAAGCGUGGGGAGCAAACAAG